rnacentral:rRNA from 1 species
AUUGAACGCUGGCGGCAUGCCUUACACAUGCAAGUCGAACGGCAGCACGGGUGCUUGCACCUGGUGGCGAGUGGCGAACGGGUGAGUAAUACAUCGGCACAUGUCCUGUAGUGGGGGAUAGCCCGGCGAAAGCCGGAUUAAUACCGCAUACGAUCUACGGAUGAAAGCGGGGGACCUUCGGGCCUCGCGCUAUCGGGUUGGCCGAUGGCUGAUUAGCUAGUUGGUGGGGUAAAGGCCUACCAAGGCGACGAUCAGUAGCUGGACUGAGAGGACGACCAGCCACACUGGGACUGAGACACGGCCCAGACUCCUACGGGAGGCAGCAGUGGGGAAUUUUGGACAAUGGGCGAAAGCCUGAUCCAGCAAUGCCGCGUGUGUGAAGAAGGCCUUCGGGUUGUAAAGCACUUUUGUCCGGAAAGAAAUCCUUGGCCCUAAUACGGUCGGGGGAUGACGGUACCGGAAGAAUAAGCACCGGCUAACUACGUG